GGGGCCUUUUCUCCUGUCGUAUUCCUUUGAUUUGGUCUCCUGCAACCUCUCAUCCUUUGUCUCAUCCGAUUUCUCUGGGAUCUUUAGGGCUUUCAUCUGAAGUCGUUCGAAAUGUCUUCCAACAUCUCCGCCUCUAGCGGUUCAGGGAGUUCUUCCGCCUCAGCCCCCCAAGACCCCCAUUCUUUAGACGAACCCACAUCUGGGACUGGGCUUCGCCUAAUUUUUGCGCCGAGCACCAUUCCCUGCUCCCUGACUCCGGAUGAACUCCUGCUGAUAAGGGUUCAGUA
rnacentral:lncRNA from 1 species